rnacentral:snRNA from 1 species
GUGCUUGCUCCGGCAGCACAUUUACUAAAAAUUGGAAUGGUACAGAGAAUAGCACGGACAAGAAUGGCAUGCAAAUUUGAGAAGCGUUGCAUCAUGAG